GACGAACGCUGGCGGCGUGCCUAAUACAUGCAAGUCGAGCGGAAGUUGAAGAGCUUGCUCUUCAACUUUAGCGGCGGACGGGUGAGUAACACGUGGGCAACCUGCCCUGCAGAUCGGGGUAACUCCGGGAAACCGGUGCUAAUACCGAAUAGUUUUCGCCACCUCCUGGUGGCGUACGGAAAGACGGUUUCGGCUGUCACUGCAGGAUGGGCCCGCGGCGCAUUAGCUAGUUGGUGGGGUAACGGCCCACCAAGGCGACGAUGCGUAGCCGACCUGAGAGGGUGAGCGGCCACACUGGGACGGAGACACGGGCCAGACUCCUACGGGAGGCAGCAGUAGGGAAUCUUCCGCAAUGGACGAAAGCCUGACGGAGCAACGCCGAGUGAGUGAAGAAGGUUUUCGGAUCGUAAAACUCUGUUGUCAGAGAAGAACAAGUUGGAGGGUAACUGCUCCAGCCUUGACGGUAUCUGACCAGAAAGCCACGGCUAACUACGUGCCAGCCGCCGCCGUAAGAC
rnacentral:rRNA from 1 species